rnacentral:rRNA from 1 species
GAUGAACGCUGGCGGCGUGCCUAAUACAUGCAAGUCGAGCGAACAGACGAGGAUCUUGCUCCUCUGACGUUAGCGGCGGACGGGUGAGUAACACGUGGAUAACCUACCUAUAAGACUGGGAUAACUUCGGGAAACCGGAGCUAAUACCGGAUAAUAUAUUGAACCGCAUGGUUCAAUAGUGAAUGACGGUUUUGCUGUCACUUAUAGAUGGAUCCGCGCCGCAUUAGCUAGUUGGUAAGGUAACGGCUUACCAAGGCAACGAUGCGUAGCCGACCUGAGAGGGGGAUCGGACACACGGGAACUGAGACACGGACAAGAAGACUACGGGAGGAAGCAGAAGGGAAGAUUCCGCAAUGGGCGAAAGCCUGACGGAGCAACGCCGCGUGAGUGAUGAAGGUCUUCGGAGCGUAAAACUCUGUUAUUAGGGAAGAAAAAAUGUGUAAGUAACUAUGCACGUCUUGACGGUAACUAAUCAGAAAGCAACGGCUAACUACGUG